GCUCUUAUUUGGAGCUGUGCUAGUUUCACAAAUAAUGGGAGCCAACUGGUUUUUCAAGGCUGCACUAGGCUCUGAAAUUAAAUCCUGCAGAGGUAGGACUGUCCCUGACUUCCUAAGUUGCCUCCGCUGUCAAAUCCUCUGUCCCGGACCAGUCUGUCUUGCUGAGGGCCCUUGAAGAUGCCCAGGGCCGAGCAGGAUCACUUGAACUUUCUGAGCCAGAUUUUCUUUUUGUUGUGGUUUAGUCAAACGCUCCAAGCUUCACUGUCGCCAGGAUCCUCAGCUGGAACCUUCUCUUCCGGUACUCCAGUCAUGAAUACCCAAUGCAACACCUACACUUCAGAUGUCGAAUAAGAUCCCUUCGAUGGCUUCCUGUCGCUCUCAGAAAACCAAAGUUUUCACAAGGUCUUGUAAGUUCUGUGGUCUUCUUGCUUUCCUUCCCUCUCUGAACUCAACUUCUUUUUCUUUCAUUCACACCACGCCAGCCACAAGUGCCUCCUUCCGCUUCUGAAACACCUAAGGGUGCUCGCUGGGGAAUUUUCCAGUUGUUCUUCCCUUUGCCUGAGCACUUUCCCCCCAGACAUCUAAAGUGGCUGGCUUCCUCACCUUAUUCAGGCUUUUGCUCAAAAAGUCACCUCAUUAGUCAUUAACCUUGGCGAUUCUAUUCAAAAUUGCAACCCCAAUUUCCAGCACCCUUUCCAGCUUUCCUUUUUUUUUUUUAAUUUUUUUUCAACGUUUUUAUUUAUUUUUGAGACAGAGAGAGACAGAGCAUGA